rnacentral:rRNA from 1 species
UACGUAGGGGGCAAGCGUUGUCCGGAAUUAUUGGGCGUAAAGAGCGCGUAGGCGGUCCGAUAAGUCGGCUGUGAAAGUCCAGGGCUCAACCCUGGAAAGCCGGCCGAUACUGUCGGACUAGAGUUCGGAAGAGGCGAGUGGAAUUCCCGGUGUAGCGGUGAAAUGCGUAGAUAUCGAGAGGAACACCUGCGGCGAAGGCGGGUGCUGGGCUGACACUGACGCUGAGGUGCGAAAGCAUGGGGAGCAAACAGG